rnacentral:rRNA from 1 species
GACGAACGCUGGCGGCGUGCUUAACACAUGCAAGUCGAACGGGCCUGUCUUCUUUUUGGGGGUGGGUUGAGUGGCGAACGGGUGAGUAUCACGUGAGUAACCUGCCCUUCGGUCCUGGAUAACCGCUUGAAAGGGCGGCUAAUACGGGGUGGUCCGGUUGGUCCGCCUGGGCUGGUCGGGAUAGAUUCACUGUUUUUGGUGUUUCGGCGGGGGAUGGGCUCGCGGCCUAUCAGCUUGUUGGUGGGGUGAUGGCCUACCAAGGCGGUGACGGGUAGCCGGCCUGAGAGGGUGGGCGGCCACACUGGGACUGAGAUACGGCCCAGACUCCUGCGGGAGGCAGCAGUGGGGGGUAUUGCACAAUGGGCGGAAGCCUGAUGCAGCGACGUCGCGUGAGGGAUGGAGGCCUUCGGGUUGUGAACCUCUGUUUCCGGUGGUGAAGGCCCUGUCCGUGUGGUGGGGUUGACGGUAGCCGGGGAUGAAGCGCCGGCUAACUACGUG